CCCAUUAUCCAACUGCCUAGUUUGGUGCUUCAAUGUACAUGCAUAUUCCGUGUGCAUAUGUGUGUGUACCAACACGCACGCAUGCCUGUGUGGACAGAUGUGUGCACAGGUUCUGCUUUAAGGACAAUUCUUUCAAUGAGGUCUUUACCCCUUACUUGAAACAGGUGUUCAUGAAAAAAAUGCACACAAUCCUGACUGACCGGAAUAAUUCCUGAAGAAGGGGCUGGAUCCGUGGGGCUGGAACGCAGGACCAGUUUGCCAUCCCAAGGCCCAAGUCUGGUGUCUCGGAUUUGGCCCUGCGUUGCCUACUCCUGCUGGAUCUUGUCCAGUUGAGAGACAAAACAUCCUGACAUCUUCCUGAAGAAUGGGAAGAAAGAUUUUGGAAAGCACAGAUUGCAAUACUGAGGAAACUGACACCUGAAGGGUUGCACCCACACCGGCAGGAGCCCCAAGAAUGGCUGGAACUGGGGACUUGCAGGCCCAAGAACCAUGGCGAUGCCAGCAAUGACCAGGAGCCACCCACAGCAGUUCCUGAGCUGUCUGUCCAGGACCCACUGAAUGGAGCACACACAGGGGUCUUUCUCACUUUGCAGUUGCAAAUGCUGGAACAAAGACCAGAAAAGCCAAUGACGCAGCACGAGUCCAAACGUUUUUUAGAGUUACCCUGGGAAAAUGGUCUAAUGAGUUGCGGCCAGUUUUGCCAAUGGAUAUUGUGAGAAGAGAAUUCCCUCCUGCAUUGGAUUCUAUCCUGGAUGCCAUUCCCCACGGAAUGUGAAGAUCUCAUGUCCGCCUUUCAGCAGGCGAUUCCUGCUUCAGCUCUGGGAGUUCUGUUAACCUUCUCUACGAAGAAAUGUUAAUGUCCUCUGAAUUCGUGUUCUGGAUUAAAUAGUCUUACUGGAAACUGGGUCUCUUUAGGUUAGAAGCACCUCUAGACAUUCCUGUGUCUCAGAAGUUGCCAAGUUCAUGUCACACCUGUUUCGUCUGUGAACAGGGUCCACUCUGACAGCUGCUACCGGGCCUGGUCAGUGUCUCCUGCCAUUGGCUCCCUGUGCCUCUCCCCUCCCUGCCUUGUCCCAGGUGAGCCUCACACAGUGGCGACUCUGCCUCUCUUGGUGGGGACCCCAUAUUUGGCAGGCGUGCUUUGGCUGGAUGUGUGAGAGAAAGUGCAGUCUUUGUCAAUUUGGAGGCGACUGCAGCCCGGCUCCCUCCCUCCCUGGGAAAAAUCAGCGUUAGAGAGGCCAGGCUUCUUUCCAUGUGCCAGCUGGUUUCACCCUCACACUCUUACUCUCACCUUUUAGAGUCUCUUCUAACCCAGGGGGGUUGUUCUUUUCUUUCUGCAAUCAAAAGUAACUUUGGUUGUUACUUUUAUUAUUGUAAAGUGGCACAUGCUUAUGACUUAAGCAUCAGAAAGACAAAUGGAAGAAGAGACAGCCAUCCCCUAAUCCUACUUGCCCCAAAGACAGCCACGGCGACUGUUGAAGAGCCUCCCAGAUCCCUUUCUAGGCUCUAGUGUCACCUGUGCAUACACGUGUAACUAAUGUCACAGCACCGCACGUAUUCUCUGAUAACACCCCAUGUCAUUUAAUGUCUAUCACAACAGCUUUUCUAUACAAGCUUUUUAAAAAUGAUCAAGUGAUACCUUUAAUUACAGAAGAGAAAACUGAGGCCAAGUGUAAUGUAAAAAAAAGUGAGGGUGCUAAAUCAUUUUGUGUGAAGAAAUAAAGCCACAUGGAUAUAGCUCAAGAAUGCACAUCCCCAUUUAUUUAUUUAUUUCUUACUUUUGCCAUGAGUUACGUGAGUCUGCAGCCACUGUAAUGUAAGAGUACUAUCCCCAAUUACAGAGAUGUACCAUCUUUGCUUACCUAAUCACACAUGGCUGGACGUUGAGGUUGUUUCCAGCUUUCCUCUGUGUUAAGCAGCAUGAAUGACCAUGGUUCUAGCUUAAUCUUCACAUGGAUUAUUUUCUUAAGGCAAUUCCCCAGAAAGAGAUCAAAGGACAAUUAAUGAAGGUUACAAAGACCUCAAAGUAUGGAGCCAGCAUUAACUACUUUGUGCCUAAAUGUGUUAGACACUGGGCCACUGGGAAGGCACACAUGCCCUUUCUUAGAGGACUUCACAUAUCCACGCUUGGGUUACUCCGCCUCCAUUACCUUGCCCAGAACAGAGCAUAGCUAUGAAUGAUGGUGGAGU